rnacentral:tRNA from 1 species
GGAGAGUUGACCGAGCUGGCUGAAGGUGCACGACUGGAAAUCGUGUUUGCGUCAAAAGCGCAACGAGGGUUCGAAUCCCUUGCUCUCCGCCA